GAGACUUCCUCCCCACAGUGAGCUAAAAGGACGCUUUUGUCAGAGUGGGGAAAUAAAAGGGCUUUAUGGGAAGGAAGAUAAGAACAGAUGAGUCAGAGGUUUCUGCUUAAUGGUGAGUAUUUUUGUCUUAAAAUGUGUGUUUUUCUUCUUUGGAGAAGGUACUGCACUCUUUUUGUGUUUUGAGCUGGAGACUUUCUUUGAUAUGACUGGGUUUUAAGCUAGUUGGUUACAAAUGAAUAUUUGGGGCUUUAGAAAAUAUUCUUUAUGUUUGGAUGGGAUCUCCUAAGUACAUAAAUAAAUUGUUUUAUUAUUAACCUAAGUUUCUCUUGGUGAAAUUUUCUGUGUGUUUGACUGGCCACAGUGUAAUUUGCUUAAUUUUUGAACACAGUAAGAUUUAUCUACAAAUUAGAGGUGUUGCAAAGUUGAUUUAGUUUGAUAAUGAUUAGUUUUCUUUGUUUUUAUGUGUGUACACAGUGCAUUGGGUUUAAUAAGCUUUUUAUUGGAGUAAAUCAUUCGUGCAGAAAAAUGCAUUAAUCAUAAGCAUAUAGCUUAAUGCGUCACCACAACUUGAACACAUUUGUGUAAACAUAACUGUCUUAGUCUGCUGGGGCUGCUAUAGCAAAAUGCCACAGACUGGGUGGCUUAAACAACAGACAUUUAUUUCUCACAAUUCUGGAGCCUGGGAAGUCCAAGAUCAAGGUGCUGGCGGGGUUGGGUUCUGGUGAGGGCUCUCUUCCUGGCUUGUAGAUGACUGCCUUCUCACUGUGUCUUCACAGUGUAGAGAGAGCAUGAGCAAGCUCUCUGGUCUCUUCUUAUAAGGGCACUAAUCCCAUCAUGAGGACCCUACCCUCAUCACCGCAUCUAAACCUAAUUUCUUCCCAACGACCCCGUCUCCUAAUCCCACCACAUUUGGGAUUAGGGACUCAGUGCAUGAAUUUGGGGGGCACACAACAUUUAGUUCAUAAUAAUAACCAUCCAGUAAAGAUGCCUCUCUUGUGCUACCUCCCAAUCCCAGCCCUCUGCCCUCCCCAAGGUGACCACUAGCUUAACUUCUAACCACAUAGAGUUUUGCCUGUUUUUGAAUUUCAUAUAGUUAGAAUUAUACAGUAUAUAUUCUUUUCUUUUUGAGAGAAGGUCUCACUCUGUCACCCAGGCUGGAGUGCAGUAGCACGAUCUCAGUUCACUGCAACCUCUGCUUCCCAGGGUCAAGCAAUCCUCUGAGCUCAGCCUCCUGAAUAGCUGGGACUACAGGCAUGUGCCACCAUGCCUGGCUAAUUUUUGUAUUGUUUGUAGGGAUGGGGUUUCACCAGGUGGUCCAGGCUGGUCUUUAACUCCUGGACUCAGAAAAUCCACCCACCUUGGCCUCCCAAAGGGUUGGAAUUACCAGCGUGAGCCGCCGUACCCGGCCUAUGUAUUGUUUUCAAUCUAUAAGGUUUAUCUGUGCUGUUAUGUAUAGUAGCAUGUUCAUUUCCAUUGUGGUAUACUAUUCCAUUGCAUGAAUAUAUAAUAAUUUAUCCAUUUUAGCUUUUCAGUUUCAAAUAAUGUGUAUCUUUUGGAGUAGACUAAGGUGACUUAAGUAGGAAAAGAAUGCAUAGCCAGUAACUCUCCCAACAGAAUUGGAUUCAUGCCUGGGGUGAUUCAGGAUGUCCGGUUAAGUUGAGAAAUACUGUACAUCUUGGAGUACAGUUACUGUCUCCUGGCAUAUGCAUAUCUUCACCUUUAGUAGAUAGCAUCGCAUGGUUUUAUAAAGUGGUUUUACCAAUUUAUGCUGCCACCAGCAAUGUGUGAGUUCAGCAAUGAUAAAAGUUAUUUACACCACAGAAAUUGGCAACUUUUACAAAUCAGAGUUUCUUUCUUAACCAGUUGUAAAAUAAUUACCAGCACACCACUGCCAAUGAGGUAGGAGGCAGGACUUGGACUCCGGACCAGAUUGAGACUAGCUGAAAGGGGAAGAGGCAAAAGCACCUCUCCAAAAGACAUGCUGACCAGUGCCAUGUCAGUUUACUAUUGCCAUGGCAACAACUGGAUACCACCCCUUUCUAUGGCAGUGACCCAACAACUGGGAAGUUACCACCCUUGUUCUAGAAAUUUUUGCAUAAUCCACCCCUAAUUUGCAUGUACUUAAAAGUGGGCAUAAACAUGACUGCCGAGCUGCCCUGAGCUGCUACUCUCUACACACUGCCUAUGGGGUAGCCCUGCUGUGCAGGAGCAGUCACAGAUCCCUAACACUACACUGCCUCCUCAAUAAAGCUGUUUUCUUGGCCGGCCACAGUGGCUCACACCUAUAAUCCCACCACUUUGGGAAGCCAAGGUGGGCAGAUCACUUGAGGUCAGGAGUUUGAGACCAGCCUGGCUAAUAUGGUGAAACUCUGUCUCUACUAAAAAUACAAAAAUUAGCCAGGCGUGGUGGUGUGCACCUGUAAUCCCAGCUACUCAGCAGGCUGAGGCAUGAGGAUUGCUUGAACCUGGGAGGCGGAGGUUGCAGUGAGCUGAGAUCGCACCAUUACACCCCAGCCUGGGCGACAGAGCGAGACUCCGUCUUAAAAAAAAAAAUCCUGUUUUCUUCUACCACCAGCUCACUCUUCAAUUCUUUCCCGAGCAAAACCAAGAAUCUUCUUGGGCUAAGCCCCAAUUUGGGGUUCACCUGCCUUGCAGCAACAUGGCACCAAACAUGCGGCAGAAGAGAGAAAACGACAGCAUGAGAGACGGAGAAAGAAAUGGCCAGUUGGCAAGGUGGUAAUGAGAGACAGCAGUUGGCAAGACAGUGAGAGACAGCAAGAGAUGGCAAGUGACAGUUAUUGUUAAGAUGACAAAUGGAGAGAUGGCAAGAAAUAGAGAAGCAGUCAGUGAUGGAGGCUGCAAGAGUUGUAACACUAACCAAAGGCUCUUUUUAGAAUCAUCGUUUUCCCUGGCAGGUGGUACAGCCAAGCAGACAGGCAAGUAAGUGGCCAUACUGCUACUGCCUCAUGUAGGAUCCGGCAGGCUGGUGGGUUAUCAGUCCUCACGUGGGACCCUCCCACCAUGGCAGCUGAGCACAUCCAAGCUGGGGGAUCCUGAAGAGACCUUCACCUGGGUGCCACGUGGAAGAUUGGCCAGCACCAUUUUGACUCCUGUGGAUGGCACCCAAACUGCACCUGGUCACCUGUCUACAUUCAGAUUUAGAUGAAAGCCACACCAUGGAGGCAGCCAGAGGCCCAUGGGAGAUGUCUGGAUUCGCAGAGGAAUAGCUCCAUGUGAUGCAAACCUUGACUAAUGGGAACAGGAAAAGGGAGGAAACCAGGAAGAUAAAUCUCCCUCCCUUCUCAUUGCUCCUUGCAACCCUUCCCACUUGAAGCAUGACCACAUUUAAUGAACAACCUGCUGUGUCUCUUGGAAGCUUGCUGCAAGGCAGCAAUCAGCACAAUAACAUUGUAUUGUAUCUUCCUCUGCUUCACUUCUCUUCCUCCCUCACCCUCACUGCCCUGAGCUGGCACAUCCCAAAGAAAGCAUUACCACAU
rnacentral:lncRNA from 1 species